CAGUCACGCCGAGAAUCCUACUUGAGGCGAAUCAACCCUGCGGAAAGAUGAGAGCGACAGUGGUGCUCAUUGCUGUGCUACUUCUGGUGUUAUCCUUUUACUGUGAGGACAGUCUGGUUUAUGGAAUGUGCUGCAAAGGGGGAAGUGGAGUUUGUAAAACAUUUCCUGAAUGUCAGAAAAUAGGAGGAACACUUAUUGGUAGCAACGAAUGUGGUUACAAUUAUGGAUGCUGCGUGUAGCAUCUCACGGCAAAAGAUUGAUGGAAUCCCUUUUCAUUGAUGCUUCAUGAAGAUUUUCAUCUAUUCAAGCAGGAAAUUCUGCACGUCCAUACAAAAGGAUGCUUGUGAAAUGGUGAUUUGAUGGUGUUCUUUCUUGGUUCAAGGCCAUUUUUCGAUCCCUGCUGUCAAAAAUGUCUUUAUUCAACUAUAGCAAAUAAAAUCUUUCCCUAUCA